AUAUGGUAUUUGAAGGAUGUCAAUGCAAAAGCAUUAUAUGCAGCAGAAAAGCAGUCAGAUAAAAAUAAUGAGUACUCUCAGUGUGGUUGUUAACUAAGUAAUGACUAUUGAGAUUUGGGGACUCUAAUAUUUUUCCUGGAGAAGACAUGAAGAGAUGCAAAUUGAAGUACGAGACUAUGUCACCUCCUUGGGUAAAAGCAUGGGAAGUGGGGAUGCGGGGAAGAAACCUGUGACAUUUAAGACAUCUAAGACAUUCAGGAAAACGGAGUUCAGAAGAUGUUCUGAUUAAUGGAGGAGAGAAAUUAUUCUCUUGGAUGUUUGGUUUAGGCUGAAUGGUAGGAAAAGAUUGACUCAGUUCCCAGGAAGCUUUUUUUGUGGUUGUAGAUUCCAGAGGAGUUCACAGAAAGGAUCAGCUUGCUCACAGACUCAACAACAGUCAACUCAAGUGCCAAGAAAGUUGGGCGAGGUUGGAUGAAGCCCAGGUGAGUGACAUGGGAGGGGGUGAGACAACCAGAGACCGGAACCUUAAAUAGAAAAUGAUGAGCCAUCAUACCCUUGAGGGGGCAAUAAACCCUGUGAAGAGAAUUCCAAAAACGUUCCAUUAUUUGAACAAGUACAAAGCCCACUUUGAGCAUGGGUGCAUAUAUUGCUAUGCUUGUUUAAAAUAAAUCCAGCGACUUAUGUCAUCUGUUUCUCUAAUAAUAAACAACAAAAGGAAAAACAGCUGAAAACAGCCCAGAAAAAAAAAUACCAGGUUUUGAGUUGGGCAGAAAUCUUUGCUUUGGAGACGCAGCAUCGCCUGCAGGGCUGUGCACCUUAAAGCUGGCCAUCACUUAUGUCCAGUGGGAGUUUUGACUUUUGGAAGAAACAACUUCCUUGUGAGAGAUGAAAAGAUAAACAAUUCUGUGUAAAUAAUAGAUAUGCUUUGUGUAACAUCAGAGGAAAGCUCCCAGGAGCGGCCGCUUGGGUAAUCAGAUACCUAAGAAAUUUGCUUCAAGAAAACCCUUUCUUCAUUCUGUGAUCUGGACAUAUUUGUUUACUCAUCUAAUGCAUUGUUCCAGUAAAACCAGGCAGAACUGUGGAAGAUGACAAUUUUGAACAAUGCAUGAUACUAUAUAAUUCCAAAUGCAACUUUACAUGAUCAGUUAUAGGGCCACAGCAUUUAAUUACUGCAUGUGCUUUUAAGGCUAUAAUGUUUCUCUUCAGUUACAUUUUCUAUGGUUAAUAAAAUACGGGGUCUUGUCAUUUCUAUGAAAAACUGAGCAUUGACACAAUUCCCCCGUACACCAAUAUUUUAAAGCACAGAUCACUCCAGGUAAUAUCCCUCUGCUG
rnacentral:lncRNA from 1 species